CAGCAAAUGCCUAAUGAUAACAUUGAAACAUCAUACAUUAUUGGUGAUGAAGAAUAUUUGCCUGUGAAAGAAAAUUCUGUUGAUCUGGUCAUUAGCUGCUUGGGACUCCAUUGGACAAAUGAUCUUCCUGGAGCAAUGAUACAGUGCAGAUUGGCUUUAUAAUCAGAU